rnacentral:rRNA from 1 species
UACGGGGGGGGCAAGCGUUGUUCGGAAUUACUGGGCGUAAAGGGCUCGUAGGUGGCCAACUAAGUCAGACGUGAAAUCCCUCGGCUUAACCGGGGAACUGCGUCUGAUACUGGAUGGCUUGAGUUCGGGAGAGGGAUGCGGAAUUCCAGGUGUAGCGGUGAAAUGCGUAGAUAUCUGGAGGAACACCGGUGGCGAAGGCGACAUCCUGGACCGGUAUUGACGCUGAGGCGCGAAAGCCAGGGGAGCAAACGGG